UUGGGAAUAUUGGACAAUGGAGGAAACUCUGAUCCAGUGACGCCGCGUGAAGGAAGAAGGUCUUCGGAUUGUAAACUUAUUUUAUCUGGGAAGAAAAAAUGACUGUACCAGAGGAAGAAGCACCGGCUAACUACGUGCCAGCAGCCGCGGUAAUACGUAGGGUGCAAGCGUUAUCCGGAUUUACUGGGUGUAAAGGGCGAGUAGACGGUACUGCAAGUCAGAUGUGAAAUGCUAGAGCUCAACUUUAGAACUGCAUCUGAAACUGUAGAACUAGAGUGCAGGAGAGGUAAGCGGAAUUCCUAGUGUAGCGGUGAAAUGCGUAGAUAUUAGGAGGAACACCAGUGGCGAAGGCGGCUUACUGGACUGUAACUGACGUUGAGGCGCGAAAGUGUGGGGAGCAAACAGG
rnacentral:rRNA from 1 species